rnacentral:rRNA from 1 species
GAGUUUGAUCGUGGCUCAGAACGAACGCUGGCGGCAUGCCUAACACAUGCAAGUCGAACGAGACCUUCGGGUCUAGUGGCGCACGGGUGCGUAACGCGUGGGAAUCUGCCCUUGGGUUCGGAACAACAGUUGGAAACGACUGCUAAUACCGGAUGAUGACUUCGGUCCAAAGAUUUAUCGCCCAAGGAUGAGCCCGCGUCGGAUUAGCUUGUUGGUGAGGUAAAAGCUCACCAAGGCGACGAUCCGUAGCUGGUCUGAGAGGAUGAUCAGCCACACUGGGACUGAGACACGGCCCAGACUCCUACGGGAGGCAGCAGUGGGGAAUAUUGGACAAUGGGCGAAAGCCUGAUCCAGCGACGCCGCGUGUGUGAAGAAGGCCUGCGGGUUGUAAAGCACUUUCGAUGGAACGAAAUGUGCCGGGCUAAUACCCCGGCAAGCUGACGUUACUCAAUGAAGAAGCACCGGCUAACUCUGUGCCAGCAGCCGCCGUAAC